rnacentral:rRNA from 1 species
GACGAACGCUGGCGGCGCGCUUAACACAUGCAAGUCGAGCGAUGAAACUUUAACAGCCCCCUUCGGGGCGAAGAUAAAGUGGAUUAGCGGCGGACGGGUGAGUAACACGUGAGUAACCUGCCUUAGACAUUGGGAUAGCCUCGGGAAACCGGGAUCAAUACCAAAUAAAAUCAUAAUGACACAUGUCAUAACGAUCAAAACUCCGGUGGUCUAAGAUGGACUCGCGUCCCAUUAGCUAGUUGGUAGGGUAAAAGCCUACCAAGGCGACGAUGGGUAGCCGGCCUGAGAGGGUGAACGGCCACAUUGGAACUGAGAAACGGUCCAAACUCCUACGGGAGGCAGCAGUGGGGAAUAUUGCACAAUGGAGGGAACUCUGAUGCAGCGACGCCGCGUGAACGAAGAAGGCUUUCGAGUCGUAAAGUUCUUUUAUAUGGGAAGAUAAUGACGGUACCAUAAGAAAAAGCCCCGGCUAACUACGUG